rnacentral:rRNA from 1 species
GAUGAACGCUGGCGGCGUGCCUAAUACAUGCAAGUCGAGCGGACGGACGAGAAGCUUGCUUCUCUGAUGUUAGCGGCGGACGGGUGAGUAACACGUGGAUAACCUACCUAUAAGACUGGGAUAACUUCGGGAAACCGGAGCUAAUACCGGAUAAUAUUUUGAACCGCAUGGUUCAAAAGUGAAAGACGGUCUUGCUGUCACUUAUAGAUGGAUCCGCGCUGCAUUAGCUAGUUGGUAAGGUAACGGCUUACCAAGGCAACGAUGCAUAGCCGACCUGAGAGGGUGAUCGGCCACACUGGAACUGAGACACGGUCCAGACUCCUACGGGAGGCAGCAGUAGGGAAUCUUCCGCAAUGGGCGAAAGCCUGACGGAGCAACGUCGCGUGAGUGAUGAAGGUCUUCGGAUCGUAAAACUCUGUUAUUAGGGAAGAACAUAUGUGUAAGUAACUGUGCACAUCUUGACGGUACCUAAUCAGAAAGCCACGGCUAACUACGUG